rnacentral:rRNA from 1 species
GAUGAACGCUAGCUACAGGCUUAACACAUGCAAGUCGAGGGGAAACGACAUCGAAAGCUUGCUUUUGAUGGGCGUCGACCGGCGCACGGGUGAGUAACGCGUAUCCAACCUGCCCACCACUUGGGGAUAACCUUGCGAAAGUAAGACUAAUACCCAAUGAUAUCUCUAGAAGACAUCUGAAAGGGAUUAAAGAUUUAUCGAUGAUGGAUGGGGAUGCGUCUGAUUAGCUCGUUGGCGGGGUAACGGCCCACCAAGGCGACGAUCAGUAGGGGUUCUGAGAGGAAGGUCCCCCACAUUGGAACUGAGACACGGUCCAAACUCCUACGGGAGGCAGCAGUGAGGAAUAUUGGUCAAUGGGCGAGAGCCUGAACCAGCCAAGUAGCGUGCAGGAUGACGGCCCUAUGGGUUGUAAACUGCUUUUAUAAGGGAAUAAAGUGGGAGUCGUGACUCUUUUUGCAUGUACCUUAUGAAUAAGGACCGGCUAAUUCCGUGCCAGCCGCCGCCGUAA